AACGAACGCUGGCGGCAGGCUUAACACAUGCAAGUCGAACGCCCCGCAAGGGGAGUGGCAGACGGGUGAGUAACGCGUGGGAACAUACCCUUUCCUGCGGAAUAGCUCUGGGAAACUGGAAUUAAUACCGCAUACGCCCUACGGGGGAAAGAUUUAUCGGGGAAGGAUUGGCCCGCGUUGGAUUAGCUAGUUGGUGGGGUAAAGGCCUACCAAGGCGACGAUCCAUAGCUGGUCUGAGAGGAUGAUCAGCCACAUUGGGACUGAGACACGGCCCAAACUCCUACGGGAGGCAGCAGUGGGGAAUAUUGGACAAUGGGCGCAAGCCCGAUCCAGCCAUGCCGCGUGAGUGAUGAAGGCCUUAGGGUUGUAAAGCUCUUUCACCGAUGAAGAUAAUGACGGUAGUCGGAGAAGAAGCCCCGGCUAACUUCGUGCCAGCAGCCGCAGUAAAAC
rnacentral:rRNA from 1 species